rnacentral:miRNA from 1 species
CGCCGGGCCUGUCGUAAACUCAUUACCUCCAGACGUCUGGCCGGCUAGAUGGCUUUAUGACACCUUGGCUCUUCCUGUUUUCAAAGAGCCCUAGGUACCGAGCUGGCCACAGGGGCAGGGGUACGCAGCACCUUCUGC